UGGGGAAUAUUGCACAAUGGGCGCAAGCCUGAUGCAGCCAUGCCGCGUGUGUGAAGAAGGCCUUCGGGUUGUAAAGCACUUUCAGCGAGGAGGAAGGUGGUGAACUUAAUACGUUCAUCAAUUGACGUUACUCGCAGAAGAAGCACCGGCUAACUCCGUGCCAGCAGCCGCGGUAAUACGGAGGGUGCAAGCGUUAAUCGGAAUUACUGGGCGUAAAGCGCACGCAGGCGGUUUGUUAAGUCAGAUGUGAAAUCCCCGGGCUCAACCUGGGAACUGCAUUUGAAACUGGCAAGCUAGAGUCUCGUAGAGGGGGGUAGAAUUCCAGGUGUAGCGGUGAAAUGCGUAGAGAUCUGGAGGAAUACCGGUGGCGAAGGCGGCCCCCUGGACGAAGACUGACGCUCAGGUGCGAAAGCGUGGGGGAGCAAACAGAUUAGAUACCCUGGUAGUCCACGCUGU
rnacentral:rRNA from 1 species